GCUUCCGGAGCUAACGCGUAAAUCGACCGCCUGGGGAGUACGGCCGCAAGGUUAAAACUCAAAUGAAUUGACGGGGCCCGCACAAGCGGUGGAGCAUGUGGUUUAAUUCGAUGCAAACGCGAAGAACCUUACCUGGUCUUGACAUCCACAGAACUUAGCAGAGAUGCUUUGGUGCCUUCGGGAACUGUGAGACAGGUGCUGCAUGGCUGUCGUCAGCUCGUGUUGUGAAAUGUUGGGUUAAGUCCCGCAACGAGCGCAACCCUUAUCCUUUGUUGCCAGCGGUUCGGCCGGGAACUCAAAGGAGACUGCCAGUGAUAAACUGGAGGAAGGUGGGGAUGACGUCAAGUCAUCAUGGCCCUUACGACCAGGGCUACACACGUGCUACAAUGGCAUAUACAAAGAGAAGCGACCUCGCGAGAGCAAGCGGACCUCAUAAAGUAUGUCGUAGUCCGGAUUGGAGUCUGCAACUCGACUCCAUGAAGUCGGAAUCGCUAGUAAUCGUAGAUCAGAAUGCUACGGUGAAUACGUUCCCGGGCCUUGUACACACCGCCCGUCACACCAUGGGAGUGGGUUGCAAAAGAAGUAGGUAGCUUAACUUUCGGGAGGGCGCUUAGCAAUUUGUGAUUC
rnacentral:rRNA from 1 species